rnacentral:rRNA from 1 species
UAGUGCCAGCAUCAUAUGCUGGCUGUCCAGGUGUGUAAAAUACACCUGUUAGCAAGGGCCGGGCAAGACCGGUGCCAGCCGCCGCGGUAACACCGGCGGCCCGAGUGGUGAUCGUGAUUAUUGGGUCUAAAGGGUCCGUAGCCGGUUUGGUCAGUCCUCCGGGAAAUCUGACGGCUCAACCGUUAGGCUUUCGGGGGAUACUGCCAGGCUUGGAACCGGGAGAGGUAAGAGGUACUACAGGGGUAGGAGUGAAAUCUUGUAAUCCCUGUGAGACCACCUGUGGCGAAGGCGUCUUACCAGAACGGGUUCGACGGUGAGGGACGAAAGCUGGGGGCACGAACCGGAUUAGAUACCCGGGUAGUCCCAGCCGUAAACGAUGCUCGCUAGGUGUCAGGCAUGGCGCGACCGUGUCUGGUGCCGCAGGGAAGCCGUGAAGCGAGCCACCUGGGAAGUACGGCCGCAAGGCUGAAACUUAAAGGAAUUGGCGGGGGAGCACAACAACGGGUGGAGCCUGCGGUUUAAUUGGACUCAACGCCGGACAACUCACCGGGGACGACAGCAAUAUGUAGGCCAGGCUGAAGACCUUGCCUGAAUCGCUGAGAGGAGGUGCAUGGCCGUCGCCAGUUCGUACUGUGAAGCAUA